GCAAAUCUAGUCCUGCGGACUGUGAUGAUUGCCGCCAAAUUUCAAAGUCUUGCUCUAGGCUUCGCGGAAUGACACGCAUAACAGAAAAGUGGCCAUAUGAGGGGGAGAGAGGAAAGGAGGAGGGAGAAGGAAAGAGAGUGCUUUAAUAAUGCUGUUUCGUGUAUUCCUGCCCAAAGUCAUAGGUAGGAUACUAAUUUUACAGAUUAAAUCGUUUGGAGUGGAUUAUGCAACUGGAAAAUUUUGCAUGCACUGUCUCAUCGGUCCUUGUGGAACAGUGAUUUUAAAACUGAGACCUGAAUAACAAAAAGGAGUCAGUCAUGAUGACAUCUGAGGAGGAAGAGCAUCCCAGGCAGAUACAAAAACAACUGCAACCCUACAGCAAGAUGGAGCUUCCUGUGUUGAAGCAGCAAGACUAUGGUCGCCAUUACAAGAUGACGCUGGCUCCGCUGUGGUCUGUGACAAACAACUCCUUAUCUGGGAAAGUUGGCACAUGAUUUUUCACCACCCUGUGAGAAAGCUCCACGCGGCAGCUUUGCAUUGGGGCUUGGGAUGCUUUAUUAAGGCUGGGAGGGGCAUCCGAGAGGAAGAAGAAGAAAUAUCAAGGGCCUGAAUAAACUGCUGAAAGAAGAUUCCUGAGUUGCGUCUUCCUUGCGGGCAAGGGGUCGCGACAAGUGGUGCCGAGACCCGGGAACCAGAACUUUCAACAGUCAGGGGUGGUGCACCGGUUAGUCCCAGGUAAGUGGGAUCCGCGAUCAAAGCGGGGUUAGUCCCAGGUAAGUGGGAUCCGCGAUCAAAGCGGGGUUAGUCCCUAGUAAGUGGGAUCCGCGACCAAAGCGGGACAGCUCCUCUGUAAUGAAAGAGAGAGCCUUACAUUUUAUUGCAGCUGCACUGUGUACUUUCGCUUCUACUUUCGCUUUCUUUUUUUUGUGCUUCCUUUGUUGUUGUGUCAUGGGUGCCGCAUCUUCAAGUCCGCUUCUCCUGGCCCUAGAUGGCCUGUUACGUUCCAAGGGACUGGAAGUGAAACAUAGUACUUUACAGAGAUUUUUACAGAAGAUAGAUAUCGCUGCACCGUGGUUUGCAUUUUCGGGCAGCCUUACUGUGCCUAGUUGGGAUAAAUUAGGCAAAGAUCUUGACUUUGCUUCUGAGCAGGGCAUAUUAGAGGGUGGGGUGAUACCCCUUUGGAAAAUGGUCCGUGGUUGCCUUACAGAUGGUAAAUGCCAGGAAGCUGUGAGUGAGGGUCAAGCUAUUCUUGAGCAACUGCAUGAGGAAAAAUCUGAAGGAUCAUGUAGUGGAGUGGCAGAGAGUAUUAAAAGUAACAGUAGUGAGAAGGCAAAAGAGCCUGAAGAUAAAAAUAGGAGAAGGCUCUACCCAGACUUGACCGAAUUAAAAACGCCUGAGAACACAAGCGACUCAGAGAGUUCUGAGGACCUUGAUAUAUUGUUACAACAACUACAUAAGAUAAAAAUGAAAAAGAAGAAAAAGGAGACACAGGGCACGCAGGCCUACUGUAAGAAGGGGAAGGGAGUUAACAUUGGUCAACAAAACUCUGAGGAGGAGGAGGUAGAAUAUCUAGAAGAAGAUAUGGUGCCGAUUGCCCCACCUCCGUAUGUGGGGGGGAGCCAAGGUUCCGGGAGAUCUUUUCAUGCACAAGUUUGGAGGACAGUUAAUACAGAUAUGGGACUUGCAUACCCUGUAUUUCAGGACAAUAACAGGGAAGAUAUCAUGAGCCUUUAGACUUUAAGCUAAUUAAAACCUUGGCAGAAUCUGUCCGCACUUAUGGCAUAGAUGCCGCUUUCACUCUCACUCAGGUGGAGGGACUUACUAGAUUUUGCAUGACUCCCUCAGAUUGGGCUAGUCUAGUCCGCGCUUGUGUUUCCCCAGGGAAAUAUUAGGAGUCCAAAGUUGGCUGUUUAAUGUUUCUGGCAGUACCCAAGACUCGGAGCGAGGUAGGAGGCUUAAAAUUUCUGCAAAUAAUUCACAAUUAUCUAAUGCUACAUUACCCUCCGCAGCAGUCCGUCUCCAAUCUCUGUUCCUGUUUCUUUUGGCUAAUGUUACAUUACAGGGGAUGCUUAAUUGUUCUAAUAUUACCUGUUAUUUGUCUGCGUGUUGGAAUGGCUCCUGGACUACGGCAGUGAUUAUGAAAAUUCCAACUUUUGUCCCGAUCCCGGUUACUGCAGAUCCAGAGUCUUUUCCUAUUGUUGAACUGAUUAGAGCCCGUAGAGAUUUUGGAAUUACGGCAGCUAUAGUGACAGCUGUGGCGGUGUCUGCUGCUGCAGCAGUUAUAGCUGGAGUAGCCAUGGCCAGCCAGGUACAAACUGCUGCCACUAUUAAUCAGGUUAUUCAACAAACAUCCACCAUACUUGAAUCUCAAAGUAGAAUUAAUCAACACAUUUUAUCUGGGAUUCUGGCUGCUAAUCAAAGGAUAGAUCUGCUUCAAGCUCAAGUUGAGGAAUUGUCUGACCUAGUACAUUUGGGUUGUGUUGACCAACGUGCACAUUUAUGUAUAACCUCUGUCAGAUUUAAUGAUUCCAGAAAUGCCUCCCGCAUCAUCGGAGAGUAUCUAUCCGGAACCUGGUCCAUGGAAGCAGAAAACUUGAUCCAGUCUCAACUAACUCAGAUUGCUGUUCUGAAUAGCACCCGUGUCGAUCCUGUGACUUUGGGUCAAUUCACCGAUUGGAUAUCUUCUGCUUUUUCCUUCUUCAAAGAGUGGGUGGGAGUAGACAUUUUUGGUGCAAUGUGUUGCUUCAGUGUUGUACUCUGUUUGUGGCUUCUCUGUCGCCUUAAGGCCCGCAGUGCUCACGAUAAGGCUAUGAUCAUACAAGCUCUUGCAGCUUUAGAAAAUGGCAACUCGCCUCAAGUCUGGCUUGCGCAUCUUAAGCAGUAAACCUUUGUCAUGGUCGUUACACCCCAAGUUAUUAUAACAUUGCACUGGGAUCGACAUGACUUUCCUUGUUAUUCUCUUAGUGUUGGAAAGCCCUUGCACUCUGCCGGUCUUACUGCCAUUGCACGCAGAUGGGUUUCCACACUAGUACUUUUCUAUCGCCUUGAAGUUCGUGCCUUUCUUUCAGGGUGCUGUCAACUUGUUUGUCAUUAUAAACAGCCACAGUUCAGCCUCAGCUAUCCCCCUUCGUCCACCAUCGUCACGAUACAGGAUGCGAGGCAAGGCACUGCACUUGAGUGAUCCUUGACGAGGACCUCAAGGAGAGCAUGUCCUAUUGCAUGCGGGUUAGACGCGUUCACGCCCCGCCCCACGAAAAAAGGCGUCGGCUGAUAUGGCUUCAGAUCUGGGGAAGGCGCCUCCUUAGGACUAAGUCAUACUAUGCAGCCACUUCUGCACAGUGGGAUAGGACCUCUACUCUCGCCUGUAUUGUUUUAAGAAAACAGAAAAGGGGGAACUGUGGUGAGCCGCUUCUGCCGUUUCUGCAGACUAUGGUCGCCAUUACAAGAUGACGCUGGCUCCGCUGUGGUCUGUGACAAACAACUCCUUAUCUGGGAAAGUUGGCACAUGAUUUUUCACCACCCUGUGAGAAAGCUCCACGCGGCAGCUUUGCAUUGGGGCUUGGGAUGCUUUAUUAAGGCUGGGAGGGGCAUCCGAGAGGAAGAAGAAAUAUCAAGGGCCUGAAUAAACUGCUGAAAGAAGA